GCGGUGUUUGUGAUUUGAGUGUAAAAUCCUCCUUUGGGUGAAGUAGUGGGCUGCUAAUCACAGGAUGUGGUUAAUCCCUUGGCUGUGGAGCUUUUCACCAGCUGAGAGCAGCGAGGUUAUGGACAAGCUGAAGCCCCCUCGAGAUGGAGGUGUGAAGCAAAUCCAGGCAAAUCACUGAGCCUCGAAAUGAGCCAUACAGAGACAAAAUAGAAGAGCUAUACUGCCCCCCCCCCCCCCCCUUUUUUUUAAUUUUUUUAUUUGCGCGUGUGUGAAAGGAAAGUCUUCAUAAAGCUGUUUUUAAUACUGUGCAGAGGGACAGGUCAAUUUAAUGAGGUGAUGUGAAGCCUGGAAAUGAAUAGUGUUGUGAUAUCCUGCAGCACAGCAAAUAGAGGCACUGGGAGCCAUUGAGCUCCGGAGCCUGAGGCACAGGACUGCAGAGCAAACAGGCAGUGUUAGUUCACUAAAUGAUGCGGAAUGGAUGCCGGAUAAUCACCACACUGCUCAUAAAUUCUCCUUUAAAGGCACCUCGUAGAGCAGCCUGAGUGCAUCUUCUUUAUAUAGCUUUACUUUAGGUCACAUGAUCCAAGCAUAUGACAGCGACGAUGCCGUAAUAAUCGGGAUUAAAGUGAAUCUAAUGAACAGAUAUAGCACGUCAACGCGCAGCGCUCAUCCCGAUUAUGUGUUCUCGUGUUGAACAUUUCUGCGGAGCAGCCCCCGGGGUUACGGAGGAACAGUGCACGGCUUAGUCGAGCCCUCCUCCCUCCUUUCCUCCCUGCACGCCCUCCACUCCUGUGGCUGGCUGCAGAUUUAAUGGGCUUAGCAGCUGUUGAGGAAAAGCAGUGAGGGCUUGUGGCAUAUGCUCUGGUUAGAACAAAGAGCAGCGAGCUCGCCACAUGAGCUGCAACUGCCUGAGCUGAACGCGGCGCUGGCACAGGGGCUGCACUCGACCAUUAAACCGUUUUACAGCUUGUGCUCGUUCAGUUUAUUUGAUUGACGUUUUUGUUUUUGUUUAGUUAAAGCACUACUGUGAAUAUUUUGAUCAUUUCCCUCCCAUAUGACAAAAAGAGCUGAUUUUGUUUUUAGAUUUUUUCCUUUUUUUUUUUAGGUGUUUGUACGCGAGGCAGCGGUUAACCUUCUCUUUGCAGUGGGUGUGUAAGCCUGUUAAUUCAUGAAACAAGAGCAGAGCAUGGUGUAUUUCAAAGGUUCUUUAAAAGGCACUUGACAAGGCCGCCCUCUUCAGGGAGCGCUGUAACCCGUCCAGCACAUCUGCUUUCAAUGUGCAUCAUGAUGUCAUUCGGAGGGAAGGCGGUGCAGAGAGUCCUCUACUGGAAAUGCACAUGUAUGCCUCUGUGUGGAAAAGUUUUUCUCUUAUUUAAAGUGUGGCUUUCUCCAGAUGGCAUGUGCACCAAUUAAUGAAAAAUUAUUAAAGUUUCACUCUGAUUUUCUUCUUUUUAAAGCAGGAAAAGUCAUUAUUUUUCCUUUUUCAGGCAGAUGAACACUGAGCUGAUUUUCUGCUCGGAGUCUUUUUUUUCCAUUUGAUCUGGCAACAUGCUCUACUGCUGGCCGCAAAUAUGGUCAGAUUAUUAGCUGUAAACUAAUUAAUUCUGGCAAACAUGUGAUCCUCAACACUCACACACUGAUUCUGUUGAGUGUUGAGCUGCAAAAAAAGGGGGAGAAACCAACUGCCUUGUAUCUGUAUUCAGAUUCAAAUACAGCAUGCUCUGCACAUGCAGAUGGCAUGAAGUGGCUUCUCUUCACACACACACACACACACACACACACACACACACACACACACACACACACACACACACACACACACACCCUGCCCAUGCAGUGUGAUUAC
ensembl:lncRNA